UGGGCGUAAGAGCUCGUAGGCGGCUUGUCACGUCGGAUGUGAAAGCCUGCGGCUCAACCUCGGGUGUGCAUCCGAUACUGUCAUGGCUAGAGUCUGGUAGGGGAGAUCGGAACUCCUGGUGUAGCGGUGAAAUGCGCAAAUAUCAGGAAGAACACCGGUGGCGAAGGCGGAUCUCUGGGCCUGUACUGACGCUGAGGAGCGAAAGCGUGGGGAGCGAACAGGAUUAGAUACCCUGGUAGUCCACGCCGUAAACGUUGGGCACUAGGUGUGGGGACCAUUCCACGGCUUCCGUGCCGUAGCUAACGCAUUAAGUGCCCCGCCUGGGGAGUACGGCCGCAAGGCUAAA
rnacentral:rRNA from 1 species